rnacentral:lncRNA from 1 species
CUGAUGGUUUUAUUAGGAGGAAUUUCCCUGCACAAGCUCUCAUUCUCUCUUGCCUGCCGCCAUGUAAGACAUGUCUUUGCUCCUGCUUCACCUUCUGCCAUGAUCAUGAGGCAUCCCCAGCCAUGUGGAACUGGUCUCACUUCACCCAGGCUGGAAUGCAGUGGUGUGAUCACAGCUCACUAUAGUCUCGAUCUCCUGGGCCUCCCACAUCAGCCUUCUUCUUUCGUGGCAAUUUUCCCCCAGGAGGGAUUUCCCUGCAGUGGACCUCCUCCCCAGUGGUACCUUCAGCCAUCAGAACACCUCGCUUUAGAUCUGUGGGUCCCAAAUUUCAUCAAAUCCAAUGACCAUUUCUAUGAUCACUCAUUCUGGGGGCAGCCCUCUGGCAUGUAAUGAGCAGUCCUAUGGAGAGGCCCAUGUGACAGUAGCCAUGCGAGUGACACUGGAAGUGAAACCUGCAGCUCCAGUCAAGCCUUUAGAAGACUGCAGCCCUGGCUGACAGCUUGACAGCAAACUCAUGAGAGACUCUCAGCUUGAACAACUCAGCUAAACUGUUCCUGGGUUCCUGGUCCUCAAAAACUGUACGAGAUGAAAAAAAAGUUUGUUUUUUUAA